rnacentral:lncRNA from 1 species
UAUAGUAGCUGGAAAGUAAAAAGAAGUGGAGGGUAAUAAUAAAAGGGUAAUAGUAAAAGAAAAGGGAGGGGCUGAAAAGGGUCUGCUUUGGGUAUAAAAUAUAAGUCAUUUGGGGACUAAUGGGGGGACUGGAUUUUGAGGGGAAAAGUCCAGAGUUUAAGAGUGAAUGGAAGCUGAACUUUGAACAAAGGGAAAACAUUCAUAGUUCAAGUUAAAAACCUGCUGGAUUUUAUCAUCAGAAUUCAGUAAUUUUAAAGUUGAAAUAGGCUGACUUUCAAACUAAAAGUGAGGUCUUUUCUUUACUUCUAAAAUACCAGAGCUGUUCCAUUGCCCUUUCUCCCCUGAUUCACUCUGUUUUUCUGCUAGUAAUUGUUUGGCAUUGUUGGUUUUCAAGUAGUAUUUCCUGAAGUGUGCUAUUGGACAUCUGUUACUGUUUCAUUGCUAUUUCUGGGUUUUUCUCCAUUGGUUUUCGGGACUGCUGGUUGCCGGACUUUGUUCCGUUGGUUUUAAGUUGCCUGUUGGUUAUUGUUGCUGUUGCUGUU